rnacentral:lncRNA from 1 species
GCAGCUGUCUGCAGAGCCCCACGCCUGCCACACAGUGAGUCACAGCGCCAGCUCCCACUGCCUGCCUCUAUUUUUAUGUCAGGGCCUGCUCAUAUCUGACUCGUUAACUAAGCCUUCCAGCUGGUGGAGGGGAAUCUGAUGGCAGCGGAUGAGGACGGAGGGAAUAAUUUAUAAGUCUACAUAGGAAUUAUAAAGCAAUCCCUCUCUCUUAUCAGGAGCUCUUCGCCUUUUAAUAACCAGGCGCUUUCAGCUGCUGCUCUACAGGAUUGAGGGGAGUUGCCAGCCCUCUCAGCAGUAAUCAGGGUUCUGAAAAGGAGAACAGCGAGUCAACCAGAACAACCACCUGGGCCUUGGCACCAAAGGGUGGUAGCAGCUGCAGGAGGGGCUCAGGGAAGUUGUGCUAAUAGGCACUUAAAUGUGACACCCACAUAAUAAGGCUCCUGGUGGGGACUGCUGCUAUUGGUGCACAUAGCAGACGAUCAGAGCAAAUGACAGGCACGUGGCGGGGGCUUCCAUUCUGUAGAGGGUUGAUUCAGAUGGGUUGACACCUGCUGCCUUAGGCAGGCGUCCCUUUCCUCCCUCACUGCUCCCUGUGGAUCUCUCCUGAAGCUGCAUGCUGGGUGGAAGAGGAGGAUCUUCCCUGAUAGAGGACAACUGUUCCAUGGUCAAGUGUAUACCACUUGCCUGCUAGAACCUCAGAACAAGCUCAAUCCAGAAGGUGAAUGUUGAAUAUGUGUAUCCUGUUGCCUUCAAAGUGCUCGGAAGAGGGGAAUUCGGAUUUUCUCUUGCUGAGAAGAACUUGGGAAGCACAUUUGGAGAGAAAAGAAGCUGUAGCUCAGUCCUCUCACCAACAGCUGAUGUGAUCUCAAGAGAGCUGCACUGCCCACAGUGGAGACUCCACAAAUCACAGCUAAAUCCUCCAAGACGACUCGGCUGUGGAAUCCUAAUGAAGAAUGCAGUGGGUAACUACAGAGGGAAGAGUUUAUGAGACUCCAGGUGGCAAGAAAAAAUGGGCAUGAGUGUCUAAAGAAAGAAAGGUGCUUUCUGCCCUUGAUUAUUAAACACCAUGCUAACUAGUAUAAAAUAAUCUCUUAACUCUUUCUCAUGAAAGUUUCAAAAGAUUUUCUCCUAUGUCAGGAGCUUAUGCCACAUCCUCUCCAGAGGUGGAAGCCGAGAGCCUUGCCUUGGCUGUGGGGGUGGUGAGGAGCUGAAAGAGGAAUCUUAGGAGGGUAUUCCGUGUGGAUUUGUGUCACUGCCCUUUUCAUUAAUGACUCCAAGAAGGAGCUGCAAGUACCACAGGCUCCAGAUCUUCAGGUGUGGCCUGAAAGUGUUUCGUGCCUGCAGUCUCAGCUACUCGGGAGGCUGAGGAGGGUCACUUCAGGCCAGGAGUUUGAGGCUGCAGUGAGUUAGUGUCACCCCGCUGCAUUCUAGCCUCGGUGACAGAGUGAGACCUCAUUUCUUUUUUUUUUUUCCUAGAUAGCUUCAGGAGGCACCUGAUUU